UACGUAGGGCGCAAGCGUUUGUCCGGAAUUAUUGGGCGUAAAGAGCUCGUAGGCGGCUUGUCACGUCGGGUGUGAAAGCCCGGGGCUUAACCCCGGGUCUGCAUUCGAUACGGGCAGGCUAGAGUGUGGUAGGGGAGAUCGGAAUUCCUGGUGUAGCGGUGAAAUGCGCAGAUAUCAGGAGGAACACCGGUGGCGAAGGCGGAUCUCUGGGCCAUUACUGACGCUGAGGAGCGAAAGCGUGGGGAGCGAACGGG
rnacentral:rRNA from 1 species